rnacentral:sRNA from 1 species
UGUUGCAUAUAUAAAUAUCCCAGCGAUAUCUCAUAUUCCUUCACCAACCUCAUAAACCUCUUUCUGUUUCCUAUUUGCUUUAUUUAGUAUUUUGUUUUCUUCAUUAACCAAAAAAAAUAUGUUUUCUAUUUACAAGUUUGUUCUGUGCAAAUGGGACCAAGUUGGUGAAACAUUCAUCCGAGGAGAUGUUACUUACAAUAAUGGAGAAUUUGAAUACCCUCAGGUUGCAUAUGUGGAAAACGGCGACGAUGAUGACGACAUUAUCUAAGAUUAUGCUCCAGCGGCAUGAGUGGAUUUGUUACUUUCAGUUUUUGACCAAAGAGUAGAAAACUCGGUUCUUAUAUACGAAUUUGUUGCUUAGGGCCUUUUAUGUACUUGUUGAGAUUAUUCUCACUGGAAAUAGUUGGACACUUGGUUUUCUCAUCAACCUCUCUUUUAUCAUUCUUAUAACUUUCGAUACAAAUAUGCAAGAGCUCAAGAAACCAUUAACGAGUUCAUAAUUGUGAUAUUUGUUAACUAGUCUUCGUCUAACAAUGAAUGUUUUUUUUUUGGAUUUGAAUGUAAAAAGUAAAAACGUUUAAGAGUUACGAGAAUGUAGAUCCUAUAACAUUGGUCCUGGCCGUGACAAAAAAAAAUAUAAAAAAUAUGGAAGCAAAUAACAAUUGGUCUAUAGAUGUUAGCAAAAUUAGUGACGCUUUUGAAAUCAAUGAAGCGAUAAAUUGAUUUUGAGAAAUCACUUAAAUGAUACCUUAAAGAAGAAUAUACAUGCUGCUAAACAGCGAUUACCGAUUCAUUUAUAGCCAAGUGAAUAUAAGCCUUUUCAC